GACGAACGCUGGCGGCGUGCCUAAUACAUGCAAGUAGGACGCAGUUGCGAACGGGUGAGUAACGCGUAGGUAACUACCUAUUAGCGGGGGAUAACUAUUGGAAACGAUAGCUAAUACCGCAUACUAGUAGAUGGACCUGCGUUGUAUUCGCUAGUAGGUAGGGUAAUGGCCUACCUAGGCAACGAUACAUAGCCGACCUGAGUGGUGGGACGGACACACUGGGAAUUGGAAACGGCCCAGACUCCAAACGUGGGCGGCAGGAAGGAAUCGUGGGGAAUGGGGAGAACGCUGACCAAGGAACGGCGCGUGAGGGAAGAAGGUUUUCGGAUCGUAAAGUUCUGUUGUUAAGGAAGCGGGACUUAAACAGAAAGGGACGGCUAACUACCUGCCAGCAGCCGGGGUAAUAC
rnacentral:rRNA from 1 species